rnacentral:rRNA from 1 species
AUGCGAUCAUUAAUAAAAAUUCUGUUGUUAAUAAUAAUAAUAAAGAUAAGAAUAUUAUUCAAAAAGAAGAAAUUGUUAGUGAAGAAGAGCAAUGGGAUAUCAAUAAUAAAUGAAAGAUAUGAUGAUUCAGAACAAAAUAGUGAUUUCUACAACUCACUAGAUGAUGUGGGACUACAUAAUUUAGACAAUGCAAUGGAAGCCAUGGAAGUAGAAAGUAGUGGUAAAAGAAGAAGGGGAUAUGGUGAAUCAUCUGUAAAAAGAGAAGGAGAAAGAGAGAGACCUACCAGGACAGCUGGACAAUGGCCUCCAGAAAAAGAUGAUUACCAGCCUACAUAUAUCCCAGGACAAUAUAGAUACAUGGUACUAAAAGAAGAGAUUUUGAAAAACCAGUGCAAUUCCAAAAUUAUAAAAAUGAUGGUGCUAUAUUAA